CGGUGGAGUAUGUGGUUUAAUUUGAUGCAACGCGAAGAACCUUACCUGGCCUUGACAUGUCGAGAACUUUCCAGAGAUGGAUUGGUGCCUUCGGGAACUCGAACACAGGUGCUGCAUGGCUGUCGUCAGCUCGUGUUGUGAAAUGUUGGGUUAAGUCCCGCAACGAGCGCAACCCUUAUCCUUUGUUGCCAGCGGUCCGGCCGGGAACUCAAAGGAGACUGCCAGUGAUAAACUGGAGGAAGGUGGGGAUGACGUCAAAUCAUCAUGCCCCUUAUGUCUUGGGCUUCA
rnacentral:rRNA from 1 species